UGUGGAUCGCGCAUUAUGGCCGCUUCCAGUGAUUGAAAGCAGUGACUUCGGAAUUUCGCUGUUCUGAUACAAGCUGUUCUACUUUGCUAUGAAUCAUGUCAAACUUCUUUUUGGCAAUCGUAUCGUUUGUUUUCGCCUUGUUGCUCGUUCUUUUGCUGGUGGGCAUAGGAUGGUACAUCGUGUGGAAACUGUUUCUGUCACGGUUUCGAUUUGUGCGGGAACUCCUGGCUGCGAAUAACGGUGCUUCGGAAGUGCAAGGAACGCCACGAACCCGGAACCGCAAGCCAAGAAUUGACUGAACUAUGGACUGGCGAAUCUCGCCAUCUCGUACUGCCAGCAAUGUGUUCUGCUAUGCUGCGGACGUAUUCGUGAUGUGCAGCCUGUGUCAGCACAUUUUUUGUCUUAGCCCUCAGUGAAGAGUUGAGCGUACCCUCUACCGAGGAUUGCCGUAAUUUAUUAUGACUUCUGCGUUUGGUACGCAUGCAGCUGUACAUUGCAGACCGCCAUGGUGUUACUGAGAUGCUCCAAAUACAGUGACUCAUUAAAACUUUUCACAUAGCUUGUUGUGUUGUGCAUGCGUGUGAUCGCUUGGUAUGUGACCCGAUUGCUGCGAUAUAUGUAUAUAUUUAUAUAAAUAUUAGGUAUAUAAUCAGCGAGGCUGAAUAAAAACGUACAGAUUUGUGGUGUUGAUGCUACUCUUUCACGUCAGUGUUAUUUACUAAAACCCAAGUUUUUGAUAGGUGAUAAAAACUUGUGCUCAUGCCUCUUUAAAUAAUGAAGCAAUUUGCUUCGAAAUGA